UCUCGAUUGGUCUAGUGGUGAGGAUACCUGCUUGUCAUGAAACAAUUCGCAGGUGGCCGGGGUUCGAUUCCCCGAUCGAGAG
rnacentral:tRNA from 1 species